rnacentral:rRNA from 1 species
UACGAGAGGUCCAAACGUUAUUCGGAAUUACUGGGCUUACAGAGUUCGUAGGCGGCUCUACAAGUGAGGUGUGAAAGCCCUCGGCUCAACCGAGGAACUGCGCUUCAAACUGUAGAACUAGAGGGAGAUAGAGGCGAGUAGAACUGAUGGUGGAGCGGUGAAAUGCGUUGAUAUCAUCAGGAAUACCGGAGGCGAAGGCGGCUCACUGGGUCUCUUCUGACGCUGAGGAACGAAAGCUAGGGGAGCAAACAGG